rnacentral:rRNA from 1 species
GGGUUGUGAGGUUAAGCGACUAAGCGUACACGGUGGAUGCCCUGGCAGUCAGAGGCGAUGAAGGGCGUACUAAUCUGCGAUAAGCGCCGGUAAGGUGAUAUGAACCGUUAUAACCGGCGAUACCCGAAUGGGGAAACCCAGUGUGAUUCGUCACACUAUCAUUAACUGAAUCCAUAGGUUAAUGAGGCGAACCGGGGGAACUGAAACAUCUAAGUACCCCGAGGAAAAGAAAUCAACCGAGAUUCCCCCAGUAGCGGCGAGCGAACGGGGAGGAGCCCAGAGCCUGAAUCAGCAUGUGUGUUAGUGGAAGCGUCUGGAAAGGCGCGCGAUACAGGGUGACAGCCCCGUACACAAAAGCGCAUGUGCUGUGAGCUCGAUGAGUAGGGCGGGACACGUGGUAUCCUGUCUGAAUAUGGGGGGACCAUCCUCCAAGGCUAAAUACUCCUGACUGACCGAUAGUGAACCAGUACCGUGAGGGAAAGGCGAAAAGAACCCCGGCGAGGGGAGUGAAAAAGAACCUGAAACCGUGUACGUACAAGCAGUGGGAGCCCCACCACCAAAGCAUUUGCUGUACCGCGUUGACGGAGCGAAGCGACGUCAAACCGAUAAAACAGCAGUGUAAAGUGAGCCGCAG